CUGGUGGUUCAAGUUAAGUAUAUUUAAAGCGUAAAAGGUGGUUAGGCGAGCUUGAAAAGUAAGUUUAAAGGAGAGCUAAUCGGUAUUGAUAGGGGUUUAAUCUUAAAUCACUCACGGUAAGUAGAGUACUUUUCUUUUGGUUGAAGCCACGGAACCAUGAUCAAAAAACAAGGAUUAGAUACCCUUUUAUUCUUGACGUAAACUUUGUUAUUGCUAACUGUUUGAGUACUACGAAUAUUAUGUUUAAAACUCAAAGAAUUUGGCGGCUAGUUAAUCUAAUUAGGGGAAUAUGUGUCUUAAUUCGAGAGUACGCGUUUUAUCACACCACAUCUUGAAGAUGAUCAGCCGGUGUACUGCCGUUGUCAGCUAGUGGUUGUGAGCAGGUUGAAACUAGCUCAAAGGAGGCCUUUUUUGUUGAUAGGUAUAAAUUCCAUGAAUGCAGGUCAAAGUGCUGCCAAUGAUGUUGGGGAGCAGGUAUUACAAUCUGUAUUUGGGAAACGGAUCCUAUAGUAGCCAAUUAUUUUGGUACGAGUGAAAUCGUAGGGGAAGGCGGACUUAAAAGUAAAAAGAAAUUAGGAUGUUUUUUUGGAUGAGCUCUGGCUAGUGUACAAACUGCCCGUCACUCUCGGCAUGAGUUGAGAUAAGUCGUA
rnacentral:rRNA from 1 species